CACGUAGGGCGCAAGCGUUGUCCGGAAUCACUGGGCGUAAAGGGCGCGUAGGCGGCUUCUCAAGCGUGUGGUGAAAGUCCGGGGCUCAACCCCGGAUCGGCCGUGCGGACUGGGGAGCUCGAGUUCUGUAGAGGCGGGUGGAAUUCCGGGUGUAGCGGUGGAAUGCGUAGAGAUCCGGAAGAACACCGGUGGCGAAGGCGGCCCGCUGGGCAGAGACUGACGCUGAGGCGCGACAGCGUGGGGAGCAAACAGG
rnacentral:rRNA from 1 species